CGUAAGACAAGGUGAAGAGUAGACUCUUUCUGGAUAUUAUAAUCAGCCAAAGUCCUUCCAUCCUCCAACUGCUUCCCAGCAAAGAUCAGCCUUUGCUGGUCCGGUGGGAUCCCCUCCUUGUCCUGAAUCUUCGCCUUGACGUUGUCGAUGGUGUCGCUGCUCUCCACCUCCAGCGUAAUAGUCUUUCCGGUUAGGGUCUUCACAAAAAUCUGCAUCCCUCCACGGAGCCUGAGCACAAGAUGAAGGGUCGACUCCUUCUGAAUAUUAUAAUCAGCUAGAGUCCGACCAUCCUCAAGUUGUUUCCCAGCGAAGAUCAAACGUUGUUGGUC
rnacentral:lncRNA from 1 species